AAGGGCGCAUGGCGGAUGCCUUGGCUCUCGGAGGCGAUGAAGGACGUGAUAAGCUGCGAUAAGCUUUGGGGAGGUGCAAAUGACCUUUGAUCCAGAGAUUUCCGAAUGGGACAACCCAAUAUCUUGAAGAGGUAUUAUCCAACGUUGUUGGAGGCUAACGCAGGGAACUGAAACAUCUUAGUACCUGCAGGAAAAGAAAAUAAACAAUGAUUCCCCCAGUAGUGGCGAGCGAACGGGGAACAGCCCAAACCAUCCAUGUUACGGCAUGGGUGGGGUUGUAGGACUACGCCGUUGCAUGAAGACAUCAGAGAAGAACUUUCUGGAAAGAAAGACCAUAGAGCAUGACAGUUGCGUAUUCGAAUGUUGUCGAAGCAUAGUAGUAUCCUGAGUAGCGCGGAGCACGAGGAAUUCUGCGUGAAUCUGCCGGGACCAUCCGGUAAGGCUAAAUACUCCCGAGAGACCGAUAGCGAACCAGUACCGUGAGGGAAAGGUGAAAAGCACUUCGAACAGAAGAGUGAAAUAGUUCCUGAAACCGUGCGCCUACAAGCGGUCGGAGCUCGUUAAUGAGUGACGGCGUGCCUUUUGCAUAAUGAACCUACGAGUUGCCUUUGCCGGCAAGGUUAAGUGUGACGACACACGUAUCCGAAGCGAAAGCGAGUCUGAACAGGGCGUAUAGUCGGCAGUGGCAGACGCGAAACCAAGUGAUCUACCCUUGGCCAGGUUGAAGGCUGGGUAACACCAGCUGGAGGACCGCACCAAUAAGCGUUGAAAAGCUUCUGGAUGAGCUGAGGGUAGGGGUGAAAGGCUAAUCAAACUUGGAGAUAGCUCGUACUCCCCGAAAUGCAUUUAGGUGCAGCCUUGCGGGUUACUGAUGUGAGGUAGAGCGACUGAUAAGAUGCGAGGGCUUCACCGCCUAUCAAGUCUUGACAAACUCCGAAUGCGCAUCAGUUCUACCGCAGGAGUGAGGGCAUGGGUGCUAAGGUCCGUGCCCGAGAGGAGAAGAAUCCGGACCACCUGCUAAGGUCCCGAAAUGACAGCUAAGUUAAACUAACGAAGUCUGACUGCUAAGACAGCUAGGAUGUUGGCUUGGAAGCAGCCAUUCAUUUAAAGAGUGCGUAACAGCUCACUAGUCGAGGAGUCGGGCGUGGAUAAUAAUCGGGUAUUAAGUUGUCUACCGAAGCAGUGGGAUCAUUAAUAUGAUCGGUAGGGGAGCAUUCCAGUCAGCGUCGAAGGCGUACCGUGAGGUAUUCUGGAGCGUCUGGAAAAGCAAAUGUAGGUAUAAGUAACGAUAAAGGGGGCGGGAAACCCCCUCGCCGAAAGACUAAGGUUUCCUGAUCAACGCUAAUCGGAUCAGGGUCAGUCGGGUCCUAAGGCUCAGCCGAACGGCGAUGCCGAUGGCAGAAACGGUUAAUAUUCCGUUACUACCUUCAGGAGUGACGUGGAGACGCAGUAGUGACAGUGCCGCCAUCUGACGGAAUAGAUGGUUGAAGGGUGUAGGAGUCGAUCAUGGCAGGCAAAUCCACCAUGAGAUCCGAACCUGAUAGUAUGCCGCGUCCUUCGGGACAAGGCAAUAGUGCGCGUAAGCAUGCUGCCGAGAAAAUCCGCUAAACUUAAUCCUGGAGGUACCCGUACCGCAAACGGACACACGUAGUCGGGAUGAAUAUUCUAAGGCGCUUGAGUGAUUCACGGUUAAGGAACUAGGCAAACUGACCCUGUAACUUCGGGAUAAAGGGUCCCUACCCUUUUAUGGGAGGGCGCAGAGAAUCGGUCCAGGCAACUGUUUAACAAAAACACAGGGCUGUGCCAAAUCGAAAGAUCCAGUAUACAGCCUGACACCUGCCCGGUGCUGGAAGGUUAAGAGGAGAUGUCAUCGAUAAGAGAAGCGUUGAAUUGAAGCCCCAGUAAACGGCGGCCGUAACUAUAACGGUCCUAAGGUAGCGAAAUUCCUUGUCGGGUAAGUUCCGACCUGCACGAAUGGUGUAAUGAUCUGGACGCUGUCUCAACCGUGAGCUCAGUGAAAUUGUAGUAUCGGUGAAGAUGCCGAUUACCCGCGAUGGGACGAAAAGACCCCGUGAACCUUUACUAUAGCUUAUCAUUGAAUCUGGGCACGUGAUGUGUAGGAUAGGUCGGAGGCUUUGAAGCAGGUACGCCAGUAUUUGUGGAGCCGCUGUUGAAAUACGACCCUUUAUUUGUUUGGAUUCUAACCCGUGGAUACGGGGACAUUGAUUGGUGGGUAGUUUGACUGGGGUGGUCGCCUCCAAAAGCGUAACGGAGGCUUCUAAAGGUGCCCUCCGGCCGAUUGGUAACCGGCCUUAGAGUGUAAUGGCAUAAGGGCGCUUGACUGGGAGACUAACAAGUCGAUCAGGUAGGAAACUAGAGCAUAGUGAUCCGGUGUUUCCGUAUGGAAGGGACAUCGCUCAAAGGAUAAAAGGUACUCCGGGGAUAACAGGCUGAUCCCUCCCAAGAGCUCAUAUCGACGGAGUGGUUUGGCACCUCGAUGUCGGCUCGUCACAUCCUGGGGCUGGAGAAGGUCCCAAGGGUUGGGCUGUUCGCCCAUUAAAGUGGCACGCGAGCUGGGUUCAGAACGUCGUGAGACAGUUCGGUCUCUAUCUAUCGUGGGCGUAUGAAAUUUGCGUGGCUCUGACACUAGUACGAGAGGACCGUGUUGGACAGACCUCUGGUUUGCCGGUUGUGCCGCCAGGUGCAUUGCCGGGUAUCUAAGUCUGGAUCGGAUAAGUGCUGAAAGCAUCUAAGUACGAAGCCGGCCACAAGAUUAGAUUUCUCAGGGUCGUUGUAGACUACGACGUUGAUAGGAUGCAGGUGUAAAG
rnacentral:rRNA from 1 species